AAAGCCAUCAGUCCUAAACACUUAAGGGUGUGUUCUAAUCUCUCCUAAACCAUAUAAAACCUGAUGUGGUUUCAUAUGGACUGUAUUGAUCGACAUCCAGAACAAAAAUGAAGGCACCGGCUAAACUCACGACCAUCAAAACCAAAGUGGGACAGAAGAAACGGAAAGACGCUUACCGCGACUUCAUCAACCGAGCUCACCAAGAGGGACCUGAUGUUCUUCCAGGCGCCAGCAGUGCGCUCCAGACCGACCAUCCCGGCUGUCCCAGGCGGGUUCUUUUGGGACUGGUAGCCCUGGAGGCAAGCCGGAUUUCAAAGACUUCCAGUUCCAGGAGACGUCGCAUCACGCCGCAUGAGUUGAACGCUGCCCUGGCUCUUGUCCUAGGGAGGACCCCAGCCGCUGCUUGAUGGACAACAUAAUGUAUAUAUCUAUAUAUUUUUUAAGAUGUAAAUUAUUUUUAGAGUUGUAUGCGUGUUGUAUUAAAGAUUUUUUUUAAACUCUU